rnacentral:tRNA from 1 species
AGAUGAAUAGUCCAGUAGUGAGGGCACUAACUUAGGAAUUAAGAGAACCAAGGUUCAAUUCCUUGUUCCGCCA